rnacentral:rRNA from 1 species
UACAGAGGGUGCGAGCGUUAAUCGGAAUUACUGGGCGUAAAGCGCGCGUAGGCGGCUUUGCAAGUCGGGUGUGAAAUCCCCAGGCUUAACCUGGGAACUGCAUUCGAGACUGCAUUGCUAGAGUAUGGGAGAGGGAAGUGGAAUUUCCGGUGUAGCGGUGAAAUGCGUAGAUAUCGGAAGGAACAUCAGUGGCGAAAGCGCUCUGCUGGACCUUAACUGACACUGAGGGACGAAAGCUAGGGGAGCGAAUGGG